rnacentral:rRNA from 1 species
AGUGAACGCUGGCGGUAGACCUAACACAUGCAAGUCGAACGGCAGCACAGUAAGAGCUUGCUCUUACGGGUGGCGAGUGGCGGACGGGUGAGGAAUACAUCGGAAUCUACUUUUUCGUGGGGGAUAACGUAGGGAAACUUACGCUAAUACCGCAUGCGACCUACGGGUGAAAGCAGGGGAUCUUCGGACCUUGCGCGAUUGAAUGAGCCGAUGUCGGAUUAGCUAGUUGGCGGGGUAAAGGCCCACCAAGGCGACGAUCCGUAGCUGGUCUGAGAGGAUGAUCAGCCACACUGGAACUGAGACACGGUCCAGACUCCUACGGGAGGCAGCAGUGGGGAAUAUUGGACAAUGGGCGCAAGCCUGAUCCAGCCAUACCGCGUGGGUGAAGAAGGCCUUCGGGUUGUAAAGCCCUUUUGUUGGGAAAGAAAAGCAGCAGGUUAAUACCCCGCUGUUCUGACGGUACCCAAAGAAUAAGCACCGGCCAACUUCGU